UCUACCUUACCAGCACCAAUUUGGGACGUAUAUUAAAGGAAAAUCUUUAUGUAUAAUUAUUCUCACACACUAGCUAGGCAUAAAAAGAUAAUGAUAGAUAUACUGAAACACUAGCUGAAUUGUCCAGAUCAGGAUCCCAUAUAGAUCUAGUUCCUGUUACAUUUCCUUUUACAACUUCCUGUUAGAUAUUCUAGGUUUUAGUUAUUAUUUUGCACAAGCCCUCCCUAGUAAAGAAGCAACCAAGCAGAGCAGAGUGAGACUGCAAGACUGCACCAGUUUGGCACCAUAGGACCUACUACUAGAGUUUCUAUUGCAAGACUGGAUGCACUGUACUAAAUCCUCCUCAGGAGAACCGUCGCGGAAAUGGCUGAUGACAGCCAGUCAUGUGAUACUCCCCUACACACUGCUGCAAGAUGUGGGGAUGUAGAUGAGGUUAGAGAGCUGUUGAAAACAAAGCAAUAUGAAGUGGACGCCAGAAACUCACACAACCAAACAUCUCUUCAUCUUGCAUGUGCUAAUGGUCAUCUCGAUACGGUUUGGACACUAGCCAAUGACUUUGGUGCUGACAUAGGAGCUAUUGAUAAUAGUGGUAACACACCAUUGCUCUUUGCUGCUAAGAACAAACAUGUACAAAUAAUUAUCAUGUUGCUUCUAUUAUCAAUGUGUGGUAGACGCCUCUACAACGGAAUGAAACAGUUAUGUUCCUUUAGCUGUAGUCAGAUUGAUUCACAUCAUGUUAAAAUCUUUGAGGAUGUCCUCUUUGAGUAUUAUAAUAAUUCUGAAGCAGUGGAGAAAACUAUGCAACUAAUAUCCAAAUUCUUUGUCGAUUAUGUUGAAUUCAACGAUUAUAAAGAUGAUGGCUUUAUAACAUUGUUUGUAGCAGCAUCACUUGGUCUUAAAGACUUGAUCGAUCGGUUAAUUACAGAAAAGACAGCAGAUCUAAAUAUUAAGGGCUUCCGUGGCUUGUCUGUUCUCCACUGUGCCUGUUUUGGAGGACAUGUACUGCUCGUGGAGAGUCUUAUUUCAGAAUAUAGUAUGGACCCUUCUGUGAAAGAUAAAUUUGGGUGCUCAAUUUUACAUUAUGCAACAGUGGGACCUCCCCGUAGUGGCCACAUAGAACUAAUAGACAAAUUAGUGAUGAAAUAUGGUCUCAAUCCCACAGAUAAAACUAACAAAGGAAACACACCUCUACAUAUUGCAAUCAUGUUCAGAAAUGUUGAAACAGUGAGACACCUGAUAAGUAAGCACAGUGCUGAUAUCGAUUGCACUAAUAAUCAGAAUAAUACACCAUUGAUGCUAGCUGUGGUAAAUGGUCAUGUCAAUGUUUCCGAUGCGUUAGUCAAAGAAUUUAAGAACAGUUGUCAUGUCCGAGGUUACAAAAGUCGAAAUCUAGUUCACUUUGCAUGCGAAGGUGGCCAAGUAGAACUGAUAGACAAGCUGGUAAUGGAAUAUGACCUCAAACCUACAGUUAGAGAUGAUGAUGGAAACACACCUCUACAUAUUGCAGCCGCCGGAGGACAUAUUGAAGCAGUGAGACACCUGAUCAGUAAGCACAGUGCUGAUAUUGAUUGCACUAAUAAUCAGAACAAUACACCAUUGAUGCUAGCUGUGGGAAAUCGUCAUGUCAACGUUUUCGAUGCGUUAGUCAAAGAAUUUAAGAACAGUUGUCAUGUCCGAGGUUACAAAAGUCGAAAUCUAGUUCACUAUGCAUGCGAUGGUGGCCAAGUAGAACUGAUGGACAAGCUGGUAAUGGAAUAUGGCCUCGAACCCACAGUUAGUGAUGAUGAUGGAAACACACCUCUACAUAUUGCAGCUUUGAAAGGACAUGUUGAAACAGUGAGACACCUGAUCAGUAAGCACAGUGCUGAUAUUGAUUGCACUAAUAAUCAGAACAAUACACCAUUGAUGCUAGCUGUGGGAAAUCGUCAUGUCAACGUUUUCGAUGCGUUAGUCAAAGAAUUUAAGAACAAUUGUCAUGUCCGAGGUUACAAAAGUCGAAAUCUAAUUCACUAUGCAUGCGAAGGUGGCCAAGUAGAACUGAUGGACAAGCUGGUGAUGGAAUAUGGCCUCGAACCCACAGUUAGUGAUGACGAUGGAAACACACCUCUACAUAUUGCAGCUUCGAAAGGACAUGUUGAAACAGUGAGACACCUGAUCAGCAAGCACAGUGCUGAUAUCGAUUGCACUAAUAAUCAGAACAGUACUUCAUUGAUGUUAGCUGUGGGAAAUCGUCAUGUCAACGUUUUCGAUGCGUUAGUCAAAGAAUUUAAGAACAAUUGUCAUGUCCGAGGUUACAAAAGUCAAAAUCUAGUUCACUAUGCAUGCAUAGGUGGCCAAGUAGAACUGAUAGACAAGCUGGUGAUGGAACAUGGCCUCGAACCCACAGUUAGUGAUGAUGAUGGAAACACACCUCUACAUAUUGCAGCUUCGAAAGGACAUGUUGAAACAGUGAGACACCUGAUCUGCAAGCACAGUGCUGAUAUCGAUUGCACUAAUAAUCAGAACAGUAUUCCAUUGAUGUUAGCUGUGGGAAAUCGUCAUGUCAACGUUUUCGAUGCGUUAGUCAAAGAAUUUAAGAACAAUUGUCAUGUCCGAGGUUACAAAAGUCAAAAUCUAGUUCACUAUGCAUGCAUAGGUGGCCAAGUAGAACUGAUAGACAAGCUGGUGAUGGAACAUGGCCUCGAACCCACAGUUAGUGAUGAUGAUGGAAACACACCUCUACAUAUUGCAGCUUCGAAAGGACAUGUUGAAACAGUGAGAUACCUGAUAAGCAAGCACAGUGCUGAUAUCAAUUGCACUAAUAAUAAGAACAGCACAUCAUUGAUGCUAGCUGUGGCAAAUGGCCAUGUUAAUGUUUUCGAUGCGUUGGUCAAAGAAUUUAAGAACAAUUGUCAUGUCCGAGGUUACAACAGUCGAAAUCUAGUUCACUAUGCAUGCGAAGGUGGCCAAGUAGAACUGAUAGACAAGCUGGUGAUGGAAUACGGCCUUGAACCCACAGUUAGUGAUGAUAAUGGAAACACACCUCUACAUAUUGUAGCUAUGUUUGGACAUGUUGAAACAGUGAGACACCUGAUCAGCAAACACAGUGCUGAUAUCGAUUGCACUAAUAAUCAGAACAGUACUCCAUUGUGUUUAGCUGCGGCAUAUGGUCAUGAGAUUGUGAUACAUGCUCUGAUAGAGUUUAAUUGCAGUCCAUACAUCAGAGGCUACAAUGGUCAAACUCUGCUUCAUUAUGCUUGCCAAAAUGGUCAUAUAAAACUAUUAAAUAAACUGGUAACUGAACAUAAGGUGGAUCCAUCAAUUAGAGACAACGAUGGGAACACACCUCUGCAUCUUUUGUGUCGUACCUUGCAUACGGGAGAAGAGAAAUUGAGAAUAAUCCUUUGCGAGCACCGGUACUGGACAGUAUUUCAAGUUAAUAAUAAUGGCAACACACCUCUUCACACAGCAACUCGAUAUGGGCAAGCUCAUUGUGCACGCUUACUAUUGCAGAAAUAUAAUGCUCCCCUAUUUGUGCAAAAUAAAGAUGGUAGGACGGCCCUUGAUUUAGCUAAAGCUCAGGGAAGUCGACAUAUUGUUAGUAUUUUCUUAAGCCAUAAUUUUGAAAUUCAGUCAACCUACAAGCAACUAGAUAAACAGGAAUUUGCUGGUGAAAAAAACCUCACCAGAAUAUUUGUUGUAGGUCAUCCAGGUGCAGGGAAAUCCACGCUUGUUGAGACUAUUAAGAAAGAAGGUUUAUUCAGCUUCUUCAGCACAUCAACUGUAACACCCCACACCCCAGGUAAUAUUCCAAGUACUUAUGACAGUAAUGCUUAUGGAAGAAUGAUACUCUAUGAUUUUGCUGGUGAUUCCGAGUACUACUCCUCACAUGCUGCAAUAAUGGAGUCAAUCAACACAUCGAAAGGAAGUAAUAUCUAUCUGAUAGUUUGUGAUUUGAGUGAAGGUGAAGAAGCUGCUGCCACUAAAUACAGCUACUGGCUUUCAUUUCUAUCAUACAAUAUUAAGCAAUUCUCAAACACAGUUAUUUUAUUAGUCGGAAGCCAUGCUGAUGUCAUUAAAAAAUCGUCGGUUGAACCAGCAUUAUCUGUGCUUGACAGAAUAUCAAAAAAGUUCUGUAGCAACUACAAUAUCGAUAAUUUACACAUAGAACCAAGUGUUGCUCUUGAUUGUCGUAAUCAAGGAGCUGCAGUCGAUAACAUAAAGAAACUUGCUACGAAAUUCUUUGAUUUAGUAUCCCCCGUCAGACUUUCUCCGGAGUCAAGCACUCUCUUGGGAUUGUUGAAGAAAGACUUUGAACAUGUUACAGCUUGCAAAGUAAGCCUCCUUAUCUCUCAUAUUGAAGAGACUGGAAUUCCGCUGCCACUAAAUUCUUCAUCACUCUACACUCUCAUAAGAGAGUUACAUGAUUUGGGUCUGCUAAUGAUAAUAGAGAGAGAAGGGGACUCCAUUGAGAACCACAUAAUUAUUCUUAAGAUAUCUACAUUCACAUCGGAUGUACACAAUAAACUGUUUUCAAAGUCUGCUCGAGCGGAUCUCACAGAGCAUAUCGAUCAACUUAAGUUCAGCGUAGGCAUUAUUCCAGAAUCAAUACUGGAGAGAGUACUGCCAGAGUACAUCACAAAAAAAAGUCUACUUAAGCUGCAGUACUGUCAAGAAAUCGAGAAUUUGUACGUGCAAGAUGACCACGCUCUUUCUCAACUCCCUUUAGAACCAGUACCAACAGAUAGUGCCACUAAAGAGAAAUUUCAUUUAUUUUUCCCUGCUCUAUGUGAUCUCAAGCUCGAGGACAUUCAAUGGCCUAAACCUGAAGGUGAUAAGAUUACUUUGGGAUGGUAUGCUAAAUGUGAUGGUGACAGAUUUGAUUUCUUCCCAACACGAUUUCUUCACGUGCUUAUCGUUCACCUCUCUCACAACCCUGCACUAAAACAAAACCUGCCAACAAGACACAGACUCUCCAUUACAGCUUCCGAUUCUUUGAUUGCUGAGGUACAUGCUGCCAAUCCUCACUGUCGUGUCUGGUCAACUGGUUUGCAUUGGCUUAUGAAGAAUGGAGUAGAAGUAUUUGUCGAUAUGCCUAAAGACGCUGAUAGUAAAGAUCUGAUUGUACUAGCAAGAAGUGACAUAGAAAGUCGAUUCGAAUGUUCCAAAACUCUGAAACUAGUUAUUCAAAAAGUAGUCAAAGCAAAAAUGGAGUUUUGUGCUGGUAUACUGCCUACUGUUUACCUUCUUGAUCCGAGCAACCUCAAGGAUGAACCUUUUACAAAUGCUAGAAGUGCAUCUAAAUACUCUCUAAGAGAUAUUGAUGAAGCACUAGCAGAAGGGACUGAGCGAGUCAUGGAUAAAGAAGGACAAUGUUUCCCCACUCCAACCAAAGAGGAAUCAUCAUACUGGAGGUCGCCAUUUAUAAUCAGUUUAAUGCAACCCCAAGAUGUUUGCUGUAAACCUGGAGAGGAAGUAAAAUUUACUGUAUCGACAUCAUCAUCUGCUACUACGUGUGUUUAUCAAUGGUAUUUUGAAAACCAAGCACUAACACUUCAAAAUCCUGACUAUAAAGGGCAAACAUCUAAAUGUCUCCUAGUAUUAAAAUUCCUACCCAAACAUAAAGGUGUUUAUUGGUGUAUUAGUGAAGAUGGAUCAGGCACGCAGAUCACUUCACGUCAUGCAACACUCACUGCAGAUGGAGAGAUUAUUGAAAAACAAGAAUUGCAGUACAUAGGGAAAAUCAUUGAAAAUUCUGGUAUUAACUUUGGUAAAUAUGGCCUUCAGACAGAGCACUUACUCAAUGGUGAAAGUGAUGUCACUUAUGAAGAGAUGGAGCUUCUAAUGAAUGUAAAUCCAAGUACACAAUUACAAGUGUUGUCAAUAAACUUAAAGCAGGAAAUCACAUCAAGAAUAAAAGAGGAGCAACUCUAUGCCAAAGCCAUAAAAGAGAUGGUCUCCCUUUCCUACACCAAAAUCAUUGCCCUUGGUCCAGGCCAGGUUGGAAAGUCUACUUUUAUUCGCAGAUUGUUGGGAAUUAUGAAAGGAAAUGUCCAAACGUCUCUUCUAGAAACACAGCCCCAAUCUAGUACAGGUAUUUUGGAGUCAAGAGAAGCUUGUAUUCAGUAUAGCCGAGUAACUGGUGCUAUAGCCAACAAAAAGUGGUGUGUUUUACAAGAUGAGCUGCACAGUCAACUAAGUGGUUUAAUGUCACUAAUAAGUAAGCAAUCUCAGCAAGAUCCUGAGCACGAAAUAAUGAAACCGUUAAUUAAACAGAAAAAGUAUAUAACCCCAUUAGCAAAUUAUGUUCAAACUGUAGUAAAAAAACCGAUGAAUGUUGCUGCUGUGCGAAUGAAAGAGGAAAAGAAACAUGAUCAAGCUUUAUCCAAUCGUUCUGGAAUUCGAUCAGUGGAAUCACUGCCAGUUACACAAGAGCCAAGUGCUGCUAGUGCAUUGAUGCCUCGAGAAUCAGAUAUUGAUAUAACAAUUAGAGAGUUCAAAGAACUAAGAGAGAAAUGCAGACUAAACCCAGAUGGGGUAGAAUUUGAAAUGCUAUUUAAUGUAGCAGAUAUUGGUGGCCAACCAGCAUUUCUAGAGAUGCUACCAUCCUUAACUAUAGGACCAGCUCUAUACCUUGUGUUUAUGAAACUCAAACAAGGGCUAGGUUCAAGAUACACUGUGCAGUUUAAAUGCAAGGACUCAAAUGUUAGACUUUGUAAGAAUUACUCAUACACGUCAGAAGAAGUAAUAUUUUCAGCACUUUCAAGCAUAGCAUGCUUUGGACACUCAGAUGAACAAGUGGAAAUGUAUGUUCGGAAACCAGACUCAAGUGAUAGAAAGCGGAAAGAUUCUCUUGCGUUACUGGUAGGAACUUUUCUUGAUGAGAUUGAAGAUGAUCAACUCGAAGAUAUAACCAGCCAACUCGAGAAACAGCUCAAAAACACAGCAUUUUAUAAAGAAGGUCUCAUCCAUCGCAAACAUUUCAGUUUAUUAGUGAACAAUAUGAGUGCCGAAGAUAGUGAAAUAGAAGAUCACAGAGAAAAAUUGAAGCAAUACUCAGAAAUACAUUUCGGGAAUAUCAAAUCCCAACACAAUGGUUAAUGCUAAGUAUUUGUCUUAAGCUUCUUGCUAGAAAUCAAAACAAGUAUCAUGUUUCCUUUGAUGAUUGCAUCCUGUUGGGGAAGCAUUUCGAUAUGGAGGAAGAGAUGGUGAGUGUUGCCUUGCAAUUUCUACACAAAUACAUUGGGCUUGUCAUGUAUUUUCCUCAUCACGAGAAUCUCAAGAAAAUUGUUAUAUGUGAUCCGCAAGUUCUUUUUUUAACCAUCAGUGAACUAAUCUUCAACAUUUACGAUCACAACAAGGAUCAAGUUAGCCAAGCACAGUGUGACCACUUUGUUCAAACUGGUUGCUUUUCACCUCAAGAUAUAAUGUUAUUAAGUAAUAACGAUCUGCCUAUGAAUAAGAAACUUAUUUCUAUCGAUACAUUAGUUGAUCUAUUAGUUUACCUAAACAUUGCUGCUAAAGUACCAUUGUCUUCUUCUAAAGAGGAGUACUUUUUGCCUGCGGUUCUGCAAACUGCUGAAACAGACAUUGUAAAAAGGAAGGGUAAAGAAAAAAACAAGGAAUUGCUUCCGGAACCAAUCUGUAUUCGUUUCAAAACAGGAUUUUUACCUUUAGGAUUUGUAUGUGCUUUAAUUGCAAAUCUUAUUGCUGAAAAUAAUUUACGUCCACUCAUUGAUGAAAGCAACAAGUUUUACAAGAAUAGGAUUCAAUUUCGAUUCAAAAAUAACUUUAUUAUCUCUAUGAUUUCUUGGCCUAGGUAUUGUGAGUUUCGUGUCUCAAGGCACUCAGGCAAUAUUGAAUUUUGGAGUGAGGAUUGUUGCCCUCUUAUCAGUAAAAUUGUACGCACAGCUGCUAACAAGGUCAUUCAAUCUAUGCAGCAUGGCUUGCGUUCAAUAAGUAGAUCUAGGGAUUCUGAAAUGUAUGAAUUAGCUUUCCAGUGCCCAAGACAUCCUAAUGCAGACUAUGGACAGGAAUCUCUCGCUAAACUAGUUUAUGAUAAUUCCGACCAAGAUAUUUCUUUGAAUUUGGAUCCUAAGGAGGCUAUAUGCACAAAUCCAGAAUGUGGAACUGCUAUUGAUCCACUAACUCCCGAAAUGAUGGUUUGGUUUGGUAAAGUUCCAAGUAUCCUGCUGAGAAUUGAAAAACAGCCUACUCGAAAAGAAAAUGUCAUAAGCAUAAGUGCAGAGGGAGCACGACCACUAACAUAUGAAUGGUUUUUAAGAAAGAAUAAGCUCUGUGAUGGUGAUGACCAGGGC